rnacentral:miRNA from 1 species
GGGGAGGUGUGCAGGGCUGG